rnacentral:rRNA from 1 species
UACGAAGGGGGCUAGCGUUGUUCGGAAUUACUGGGCGUAAAGGGCGCGUAGGCUGUGCUGUAAGUCAGGCGUGAAAGGCCCGGGCUCAACCUGGGAAUGGCGCAUGAUACUGCGGCGCUGGAAGGCGGGAGAGGAUGGCGGAAUUCCCAGUGUAGAGGUGAAAUUCGUAGAUAUUGGGAAGAACACCGGUGGCGAGGGCGGCCAUCUGGCCCGUUACUGACGCUCAGGCGCGACAGCGUGGGGAUCAAACAGG